ACAGUCCCACCCGGGGCCGAACGGGUUAAAGCCUGACUCUGCAGGCACCGCGCACCCCUCCCUGUUUUACUUCUCCCUCCCUCUCUCUUCUCGUUCCAUUUUACUGUGCGCCUAGGGGGAGUUCUUUGCCAUCUGCGAAAUUCUCUCACAACAAACUUUUUAAUCGGACAUUAGAUAGCGUUGCAAGGACACCUGCAUCAAAACCAUAAUAUUCUGAAAAUUCGAUUCGGACAUACCGUGAACCGCUCGGGAAAUCAUUUUUCUUAUGUAGAUUUUAGUACCCUUGAAAUAGUUUGUUUUUAAUUCGAAAACUGGGCACUGGAACAUGUCGAGGAGAAGAUUUGGUGCUAAGGGUCCCGAAGUUGGGACGCAAGUGAUGCGCAAUGUGUGAGUUUCUGCAAUGAAUGGGAGCAGACAAAUACAAUCACUGUCAAAUCCAAAGACAACUCAACAUUAGAGUCAACAGCUUCCACUCAGCCAGAAGGCAGAUCUGUGGGGGCUCUCUGACAGUAUGUGGGGAUAUUUCCUGUAACACACUCAUAUUCAGGAAUGCCAAGAAUCCACCGGUGUUUUCCAGUAGGUGUAAAGAGAGACUCUGAAAUCAGUACAUAUCUACUAGCUGAACACAGAACUCAGUACGUAUCUACAACCUGAACACAGAACUGAGAACAUAUCUACAAGCUGAACACAGAACUGAGAACAUAUCUACAAGCUGAACACAGAACUGAGAACAUAUCUACAAGCUGAACACAGAACUCAGAACAUAUCUACAAGCUGAACACAGAACUCAGAACAUAUCUACAA
ensembl:lncRNA